GCCUGGGUGGCUCAGUCAGUUAAGCGUCUGACUCCGGCUCAGGUCAUGAUCUCGCGGUUCGUGGGUUCGAGCCCCGCGUCGGGCU
rfam:Felis catus isolate Cinnamon breed Abyssinian chromosome B4, whole genome shotgun sequence.